rnacentral:rRNA from 1 species
GGGUUGUGAGGUUAAGCGACUAAGCGUACACGGUGGAUGCCCUGGCAGUCAGAGGCGAUGAAGGACGUGCUAAUCUGCGAUAAGCGUCGGUGAGGUGAUAUGAACCGUUAUAACCGGCGAUUUCCGAAUGGGGAAACCCAGUGUGUUUCGACACACUAUCAUUAACUGAAUCCAUAGGUUAAUGAGGCGAACCGGGGGAACUGAAACAUCUAAGUACCCCGAGGAAAAGAAAUCAACCGAGAUUCCCCCAGUAGCGGCGAGCGAACGGGGAGGAGCCCAGAGCCUGAAUCAGUGUGUGUGUUAGUGGAAGCGUCUGGAAAGGCGCGCGAUACAGGGUGACAGCCCCGUACACAAAAAUGCACAUAUUGUGAGCUCGAUGAGUAGGGCGGGACACGUGGUAUCCUGUCUGAAUAUGGGGGGACCAUCCUCCAAGGCUAAAUACUCCUGACUGACCGAUAGUGAACCAGUACCGUGAGGGAAAGGCGAAAAGAACCCCGGCGAGGGGAGUGAAAAAGAACCUGAAACCGUGUACGUACAAGCAGUGGGAGCCUCUUAAUGGGGUGACUGCGUACCUUUUGUAUAAUGGGUCAGCGACUUAUAUUCUGUAGCAAGGUUAACCGAAUAGGGGAGCCGAAGGGAAACCGAGUCUUAACUGGGCGUUAAGUUGCAGGGUAUAGACCCGAAACCCGGUGAUCUAGCCAUGGGCAGGUUGAAGGUUGGGUAACACUAACUGGAGGACCGAACCGACUAAUGUUGAAAAAUUAGCGGAUGACUUGUGGCUGGGGGUGAAAGGCCAAUCAAACCGGGAGAUAGCUGGUUCUCCCCGAAAGCUAUUUAGGUAGCGCCUCGUGAAUUCAUCUCCGGGGGUAGAGCACUGUUUCGGCAAGGGGGUCAUCCCGACUUACCAACCCGAUGCAAACUGCGAAUACCGGAGAAUGUUAUCACGGGAGACACACGGCGGGUGCUAACGUCCGUCGUGAAGAGGGAAACAACCCAGACCGCCAGCUAAGGUCCCAAAGUCAUGGUUAAGUGGGAAACGAUGUGGGAAGGCCCAGACAGCCAGGAUGUUGGCUUAGAAGCAGCCAUCAUUUAAAGAAAGCGUAAUAGCUCACUGGUCGAGUCGGCCUGCGCGGAAGAUGUAACGGGGCUAAACCAUGCACCGAAGCUGCGGCAGCGACACUAUGUGUUGUUGGGUAGGGGAGCGUUCUGUAAGCCUGUGAAGGUGUACUGUGAGGUAUGCUGGAGGUAUCAGAAGUGCGAAUGCUGACAUAAGUAACGAUAAAGCGGGUGAAAAGCCCGCUCGCCGGAAGACCAAGGGUUCCUGUCCAACGUUAAUCGGGGCAGGGUGAGUCGACCCCUAAGGCGAGGCCGAAAGGCGUAGUCGAUGGGAAACAGGUUAAUAUUCCUGUACUUGGUGUUACUGCGAAGGGGGGACGGAGAAGGCUAUGUUGGCCGGGCGACGGUUGUCCCGGUUUAAGCGUGUAGGCUGGUUUUCCAGGAAAAUCCGGAAAAUCAAGGCUGAGGCGUGAUGACGAGGCACUACGGUGCUGAAGCGACAAAUGCCCUGCUUCCAGGAAAAGCCUCUAAGCAUCAGGUAACAUCAAAUCGUACCCCAAACCGACACAGGUGGUCAGGUAGAGAAUACCAAGGCGCUUGAGAGAACUCGGGUGAAGGAACUAGGCAAAAUGGUGCCGUAACUUCGGGAGAAGGCACGCUGAUAUGUAGGUGAAGCGACUUGCUCGUGGAGCUGAAAUCAGUCGAAGAUACCAGCUGGCUGCAACUGUUUAUUAAAAACACAGCACUGUGCAAACACGAAAGUGGACGUAUACGGUGUGACGCCUGCCCGGUGCCGGAAGGUUAAUUGAUGGGGUUAGCGGUAACGCGAAGCUCUUGAUCGAAGCCCCGGUAAACGGCGGCCGUAACUAUAACGGUCCUAAGGUAGCGAAAUUCCUUGUCGGGUAAGUUCCGACCUGCACGAAUGGCGUAAUGAUGGCCAGGCUGUCUCCACCCGAGACUCAGUGAAAUUGAACUCGCUGUGAAGAUGCAGUGUACCCGCGGCAAGACGGAAAGACCCCGUGAACCUUUACUAUAGCUUGACACUGAACAUUGAGCCUUGAUGUGUAGGAUAGGUGGGAGGCUUUGAAGUGUGGACGCCAGUCUGCAUGGAGCCGACCUUGAAAUACCACCCUUUAAUGUUUGAUGUUCUAACGUGGGCCCCUUACCGGGGUUGCGGACAGUGUCUGGUGGGUAGUUUGACUGGGGCGGUCUCCUCCUAAAGAGUAACGGAGGAGCACGAAGGUUGGCUAAUCCUGGUCGGACAUCAGGAGGUUAGUGCAAUGGCAUAAGCCAGCUUGACUGCGAGCGUGACGGCGCGAGCAGGUGCGAAAGCAGGUCAUAGUGAUCCGGUGGUUCUGAAUGGAAGGGCCAUCGCUCAACGGAUAAAAGGUACUCCGGGGAUAACAGGCUGAUACCGCCCAAGAGUUCAUAUCGACGGCGGUGUUUGGCACCUCGAUGUCGGCUCAUCACAUCCUGGGGCUGAAGUAGGUCCCAAGGGUAUGGCUGUUCGCCAUUUAAAGUGGUACGCGAGCUGGGUUUAGAACGUCGUGAGACAGUUCGGUCCCUAUCUGCCGUGGGCGCUGGAGAACUGAGGGGGGCUGCUCCUAGUACGAGAGGACCGGAGUGGACGCAUCACUGGUGUUCGGGUUGUCAUGCCAAUGGCACUGCCCGGUAGCUAAAUGCGGAAGAGAUAAGUGCUGAAAGCAUCUAAGCACGAAACUUGCCCCGAGAUGAGUUCUCCCUGACUCCUUGAGAGUCCUGAAGGAACGUUGAAGACGACGACGUUGAUAGGCCGGGUGUGUAAGCGCAGCGAUGCGUUGAGCUAACCGGUACUAAUGAACCGUGAGGCUUAACCUUACAACGCCGAAG